rnacentral:lncRNA from 1 species
CUGGGAGAGGGAGAAGCAGGCUCCCUGCAGGGAGCCUGAUGCAGGACUCCAUCCCAGUGAUGCAGGAAUGAGUUAGGGACAGACGGGGCUAGGCAGGAAAAGAUAAGGGAAAGGCCCAGAGUUGGGCUCCCAUAAAUCCCAAGGACACCAAACAGUCCAGAGACAGGCUCCUACCCUUCCCAAGAAAACAGAGAUAAGACAACAAAAACAGAGAAGAAAAUAAAUUAGGCUCCCUAACUCCAAAGUAUCUCCCUUUGACGUUUUCCAAACAAUCCCAAAGAUUCAACAGACCCCAAAACAGUCAUAUGUCAAACACUUGAGACAGCACAAAGAAGUCUCAAGGCCUUGGGUUCCCUGGUUAGGUUCCCAAUAACAGGCCAGUCAAAAAGCCCGCAGUGGCAACCCUGUUGGGACCCCUCUCACUUCUGAGAACUUUCUCUGUACCUUUGCUUAAUAAACUUCUAUUGCUUUACUCACUCUCCUGUGAGAGUAAGUAAAGUGAAGAAAAUAAAUAAAUAAAUAAAUAAAUUUAUAAAUAAAUAAGUGAGUAAAAUUCUAAAGGAAUUUUUAUACGUCAAAGUAGACUUACAGGAUUCUGGGCUAAGAUUGCCUUUUGCCCUUAGCAAAGUAUUAACUUCGGGGCAGUUGAGUCCUUAGAAGAAUCUCACUCCACUUGUUUCAAGAUCUUGUCAAUGGGCUGUAGGUAGUAAGGAAAUUUAAUAAUUUUUCUUCUGCCUUUGUUUCCCACAUCACAGGGACAGGACCCAUGGGCAGAAAGAACUGCACUGGGGUCAUGAGGAGUGGCCCAUUAUAUAUGUUGAAGUUGGGAGGGGGUUGGGGACAGCCUAAGUCUCUAAGGAAUUUGGAACCAAGGUCUCCAGGACCUUCAGGGGGCUAACUAUUGUUGGGAAAAGAGAAUUUAUUACCAUCUAAUAAAACCUUAGUCAUGAGACCCUUCAGAUGUAUAUCGGUGGGCCAUAUGCUUGGGGGUUGAUUGUCAACAUAUAUGCCAACAUAUAUCUAUCAGCAGAAAGGGAGUAUAGAGAUAAAGGAAGUGUCCAAAGGAAUUUUUAUAUGUCAAAGUAGAUUUACAGGAUCCUGGGGGUUGGACUAAAAGUGCCUUUUGCCCUUAGCAAAGUAUUAACAUCCAGGCAGUUGAGUCCCUAGAGGAAUGUCACCCUGCCUGUUUCAAGGACUCGUCAAUGGGCUGUAGGUAGUGAGGAAAUUUAAUAAUUUUACUUUUGCCUUUGUUUCCCCCAUCAGAUCUUAAGCCCCACCACACACACAGUUAAAAAGAAACUGCAGACGUACGAUGUAGCCACUUAAGGCCCCAAAUCAACAAACUACUUAAUACCUGACUUACCUACAGUUUCAAAUCCCCCCGCCUCCCAUAAAACCUUUAAUCAGUCAACAUGGAAUUUCCCUGGCCAUACUAUGAAAUUUAUUGCUACACCCCCUUCUGCUCCCCUUAGGAAAGUGGCCUUGUCUAAACAAUGCAUUCCUUGCUAAUAAAUUCCUUUCUUUGUGCCCUUUCUUUGCCUUUAAAAACUUCCCUUUCAUUUAACUCAGCAGAAAACCCCACUUCUUGCUAUUUGGGAUGCUGCCAGAGUUACAAAUCACUUAAUAAAGCCAAUUAGAUCUCCAAUUUACUCCUUUUGUUGUGGGAAACAAAGCUGGAAGGAAAGUAGAUAAAAUGUCCUUAUAACCUGCAUCCCAUUGACAAAUACUUGAUGUAGGCAGAUUAUAACAUUCCGCUUUGAAGCACCCAACUGCUUUGCUAGAGGGAAAAAACAACUUUAGUUUGACAAUAGCAAGACCAAAGUCCUUCUGGAACUUCCUUUUGUCUUUACCUCUCCAACUCAAAGUAUAUAAUCAGUUCCCCUCACAAUUCUGGGUUAGCAGCUCUUUCUGCCCAGAGGUCCUGUCCCUGUACUUUAAAAAAUUGCCUUUUUGCACACCAUAAGACAUCUCAAGAAUUCUUCCUUGGCUGUUCGCUCCAGACCCCAAAAACAACCCUACUCCAAAAAACUAUCUCAAUUUGAACUUUGUUUUUUACAACACACACACACACACACACACACACACACACACACACCAUGAGGUGAUGUAGCAUUAAUUAAUUAACCUGGAAAUCCAUGUAUGCCUUAAAGCCUGGAUUGCAGUACUCUUUCCCAUUGCAAAACUCUUGAUGCACUUCUUUAUUUGAAUAGCUUUACUGAGAUGUAAGGCACAUGCUGCACCCCCCCCCCAUUAAAGUGUAGACUUCAGUAGUUCUAAAAAAAUUCGCAGUUCUAUGCAAUCACCACAAUUUUGAACAUUUUCAUCACCUCAAAAAAACUAUCCUGUCAGUUUGUUUUUCAUACCAUCAACACGAUUUUAUAUUCUCAGCAAAAGUGCCACAAGGGCUUCAAAGUGUGUUUUCACUUUCUUGAUGGCAUCCUUCAAUGCCCAAAAGUCACUGAUUUGAUGAAGUCCAAAUUACCUAUUUUUUUCCCAUUCUUGCUCUUGGUGUCUUAGCUACCAAUUCUUUGCCAAAUACAAGUCAAGAAUUGUUCUCUAUGUUUAUCUAAAUGUUAUAAUUUACUCUUAUGUUUAAGUGUUUAUCCUUUCUGGUAAAUCCAUUGUAUGUGGUACCCUGUAAGGAUAAACCUCUCUCUUUAGCAUAUGGCUAUUCAGUUGGCCUAGUAGAAAUUUAUGAAAAGAGCAUUCUUGCACUAUUCUUGGCUUUUUUUUUUCUUUCAAAAAAUCAAUUAAGGGGUGCCUGGGUUAGCAGCUCUUUCUGCCCAGUGUCUGUCUUCCUCGUAUAAGGGUCAUUAUCUCAGGGUCCU